AAGCGGAAAAGAUUAGGGAGGAGCCAAGGGCAGAGGUGUAAUUAUACUUAUUUAAUUAUUUGAUGAAUGAUUAAGAACUAUUCUCAAACCUGGAUAUCGACGGACAUGCUUUCGGGGCUCCACAGCGAUAAGGGUCCUAGUUCUGAGUUGAAAUGGCUCGGCUGGCAGCCAUGAUGAAGGAAA
rnacentral:sRNA from 1 species